rnacentral:rRNA from 1 species
CGUAGGUGGCAAGCGUUGUCCGGAAUUAUUGGGCGUAAAGCGCGCGCAGGCGGUUCCUUAAGUCUGAUGUGAAAGCCCCCGGCUCAACCGGGGAAGUCAUUGGAAACUGGGGAACUUGAGUGCAGAAGAGAAGAGCGGAAUUCCACGUGUAGCGGUGAAAUGCGUAGAGAUGUGGAGGAACACCAGUGGCGAAGGCGGCUCUUUGGUCUGUAACUGACGCUGAGGCGCGAAAGCGUGGGGAGCAAACAGGAUUAGAUACCCUGGUAGUCCACGCCGUAAACGAUGAGUGCUAAGUGUUAGAGGGUUUCCGCCCUUAGUGCUGCAGCUAACGCAUUAAGCACUCCGCCUGGGGAGUACGGCCGCAAGGCUG